UAUAUACCAGGAAGACGUAGCCUACUCUGAUAUUAAUGCUACACGAACGUUGAAACGGUGUGAUUUUAUCUCCAGGACCAGUAAAAGGAAAUCAUUGAAAACUAGCCUAUCACAUAUGUCAAGGAGCCAAAAUGGAGAACUGCUGUGGAUUGGUAACUGUCAAGAAUGAACCAGUGCCUCUGAAGAGUAUUGCUGUGGAAGUGAGUGUUCAGGGGCAUGUGGCCACUGUGAGCUCCACUCUGCAGUAUGAGAACCAGGAGCAGAGCCCUCUGGAGGCCAUCUUUGUUUUCCCUCUGCCGGGAGAGGCUGCUGUCUGCAGGUUCAGCGCAAAGAUAGGACAGACUGAGGUGGUGGCUGAGGUUCAGGAGAAACAGAAGGCACAGGAGCAGUAUGAUGAUGCAUUGAGUUCGGGCCAGCAGGCCUUCCUAUUGGAGGAGAGUGAUGAGAGCCCGGACGUGUUCAAGCUGAGUGUGGGCAGUCUGCCUCCAGGGGAGAAGGCCUCUGUCAGCCUGGACUAUGUGACAGAGCUGGCUGUACAGGCUGACGACGGCCUGAGGCUCUGCCUGCCCGCCGUGCUCAACCCCCGUUACCAACCCCAGGGGUCAGACAGUGGCAGUGCUGGCAGUGCCCAGGUAUCCUCGGUCCCCGCUGGUUCUGUCCCCUACAGUCUGUCCCUCAGUGCCCAUGUGUCGUCCCCUCAUCCCAUCUCUGGAGUAGAGUCCAACUGUCCCCUGGACCCACUCAACUACCUCAACACAGAGAAAACCCAAGCCACGGUCAGUCUGGCUGCAGGUCAUCAGUUUGACCGGGAUGUUGAGCUGUUGUUGUAUUACCAAGACACCCAUCAGCCUACUGCUAUAGUAGAGGCAGCACAGGCUUCUGCCAAGCCAGGCUCUCUGAUGGGUGACCCAGUGGUCAUGCUGAGCUUGUACCCAGAGUUCCCCAAGGAUGUGAUGUCAUCUAUGACCUCACACGGGGAGUUCCUGUUCGUAGUGGAUCGCUCUGGCAGCAUGGAAUUCCCCAUGCACCUUGGGUCUGGGUCACAGGACCGUAUUGGCAGUGCCAGGGAAACUCUGCUGCUCUUGCUGAAAAGCCUGCCCAUGGGCUGCUACUUCAACAUCAUCGGCUUUGGGUCCAGUUAUGAGUCCUUCUUUUCUAAGAGUGUGGAGUACAGCCAGAAGACUAUGGAUGAGGCCCUGCAGAAGGUGAAAGAAAUGAGGGCUGACCUGGGAGGUACAGAGAUCCUCCAGCCUUUAAAACAUAUCUACAGCCAGCCCUGCCUCCCCGACCAGCCCAGACAGCUCUUCUUGUUCACUGACGGUGAGGUGGAGAACACCAAGGAAGUCCUGGAUCUGGUGAAGACGAAUGCCGGUUCUCACAGGUGUUUCUCCUUUGGGAUCGGGGAGGGGGCCAGCACUGCUCUCAUUUCUGGGGUGGCCAAGCAGGCCAGAGGGCACGCACAGUUUAUCACAGGACAGGACAGGAUGCAGCCCAAAGUGAUGCAGUCUCUCCGGUUUGCCCUGCAGCCAGCUGUGGUGGACAUCUCAGUCAAGUGGAAUGUCCCAAAGGAGGUGUCUGUCACCCCUCUGUCUCCACCAAUCAGAGUGCUCUUCCAGGGUCAAAGGGCACUUCUGUAUGCCCAGCUCACUGGGAAGAGCUCAGGGGACACAGAGGGCUCGGUGACAGUGAAGUACAGCCUGGCCAAGCAGCCUGUUGAGAACCAGCUGAGCUUCAGUCUUAAGCCUACAGAGGACACUGGAAUGACCGUCCACAGGCUGGGUGCUCGAACCCUAAUCCAAUCCCUGGAGGUGGAAGAGAGGGAGCAGGAUGGUGAGAAGGAGGGAGUGAAAGAGAAGGUGAUAGAGCUCAGCGUCCAAUCAGGAGUGAGCAGUGCCUUUACUGCCUUCAUCGCUGUCCACAAAGGAGAUGGACAGGCCCUGCAAGGACAACUGCUACACAGACAUGUCCCCACACCAAUGUUGAAUCUAAGGGGAUGUUCACUGACAGAUUGUGAUUUUAGCAGUAGUGUACUUGAGCGCGAUAUGAAACUAUCUGAACUCGAUGACCGAUCUGAUCAGCUUCUGUGCUCUGCGUCAGAGUUUGUGGUCGGCACAAAGAGUAAGUGUAUGUCUGCUAAAAAGAAGGCCGAAGGUUCGCUCGCCUCUAGGGUGAAGGGAUUCUUCUUUAAACAACUUGGAUUCUUCUCUAAACAAGGUGCUCGUGAAGUAUUAGAAUGUGACGAAGACUGUGAUGAAGACUCUCCAGCCCCAACCACUAAGUCUGUGAGGGACCCUCUCCUCCAGCUGAUCUCCCUUCAGAAGGCCUCUGGUUCCUGGGUCCUGGAGGCAGCAUUGGCUGAGGUGCUGGAGAAGACAGAGGAGGAGGUGUCCAAGCCAAAGCCUGAACAGUCUGUCUCUCCCUAUCUAAGGUGGACCAGGAGGUGUGGGCCACAGUUUUAGCCCUGGUAUGGCUCUAUGGUUUCAAGAUGGAGGCUCAGGAGGAUUGGCAGUUUCUGGCCAUGAAGGCAGUAUCAUGGAUCCAGGCUCAGAAAGUGGCCAGUGUGUCUGAGUGUGUCCAGGCUGGAAACACCCUUCUGGGUUGCCAAGUGCAGAAAGACACCCUGGGGCUCUGACAUGUUCACCCUCCCAGUCCUCAAUCUGUCCCCCAUACGCCUGCUACUCUACACACAACCCUGCCUGCUCCUAGUCCCCUACUCCAAGCAAACUGGUGGAGCUAGCAACUGUAUCUGCCUAAACAAUUUUAUUGAAAUAACGUGGAAACAACAUUCUAUGUAUAUUGUAUGUAUCCAUUAUCCAUGUAUAUGAGGCCAAAUGCAUGCAGGAAGGAGUUGUGGAUAAUAUGCAAAGCUGAGUGCCUAUCCCAGUGCCUUUACUGUGUGAUCAUGUAACACUGUGUCUCUGUAUUCAUGUAAUUCCUCAU